GGUUAAGUGAAGAAGGGCGUACGGUGAAUGCCUUGGCACUAGGAGCCGAUGAAGGACGGGACGAACACCGAUAUGCUUCGGGGAGCUGUAAGUAAGCUUAGAUCCGGAGAUUUCCGAAUGGGGAAACCCGG
rnacentral:rRNA from 1 species